CGGGGUGAGUAAUGUCUGGGAAACUGCCCGAUGGAGGGGGAUAACUACUGGAAACGGUAGCUAAUACCGCAUAGCGUCGCAAGACCAAAGAGGGGGACCUUCGGGCCUCUUGCCAUCGGAUGUGCCCAGAUGGGAUUAGCUAGUAGGUGGGGUAACGGCUCACCUAGGCGACGAUCCCUAGCUGGUCUGAGAGGAUGAUCAGCCACACUGGAACUGAGACACGGUCCAG
rnacentral:rRNA from 1 species